CUACAGGCCUAACACAUGCAAGUCGAGGGGAAACGGCAGCUUAGCUUGCUAAGCUGGACGUCGACCGGCGCACGGGUGAGUAACGCGUAUCCAACCUGCCCCACGGUGAGGGAUAACCCGCGGAAACGCGGCCUAAUACCUCAUGGUCUCCGAGCUUGCCAUCAACCUUGGAGUAAAGAUUCAUUGCCGUGGGAUGGGGAUGCGUCUGAUUAGCUUGUUGGCGGGGCAACGGCCCACCAAGGCAACGAUCAGUAGGGGUUCUGAGAGGAAAGCCCCCCACAUUGGAACUGAGACACGGUCCAAACUCCUACGGGAGGCAGCAGUGAGGAAUAUUGGUCAAUGGGCGAGAGCCUGAACCAGCCAAGUAGCGUGCAGGAAGACGGCCCUAUGGGUUGUAAACUGCUUUUAUGCGGGGAUAAAGCGGGCGACGUGUCGCCCUUUGCAGGUACCGCAUGAAUAAGGACCGGCUAAUUCCGUGCCAGCAGCCGCGGUAAUACGGAAGGUCCGGGCGUUAUCCGGAUUUAUUGGGUUUAAAGGGAGCGCAGGCCGGGUAUUAAGCGUGUUGUGAAAUGUAGGCGCCCAACGUCAGCACCGCAGCGCGAACUGGUGCCCUUGAGUACGCACGACGUUGGCGGAAUUCGCCGUGUAGCGGUGAAAUGCUUAGAUAUGGCGAAGAACUCCGAUUGCGAAGGCAGCUGACGGGAGCGCUACUGACGCUCAUGCUCGAAAGCGCGGGUAUCGAACAGGAUUAGAUACCCUGGUAGUCCGCGCGGUAAACGAUGGAUGCCCGCUAUUUGCGCAUUAGCGCAAGUGGCCAAGUGAAAACGUUAAGCAUCCCACCUGGGGAGUACGCCGGCAACGGUGAAACUCAAAGGAAUUGACGGGGGCCCGCACAAGCGGAGGAACAUGUGGUUUAAUUCGAUGAUACGCGAGGAACCUUACCCGGGCUUGAAUUGCAGAGGAAAGAUCCAGAGAUGGUGAUGCCCUUCGGGGCCUCUGUGAAGGUGCUGCAUGGUUGUCGUCAGCUCGUGCCGUGAGGUGUCGGCUUAAGUGCCAUAACGAGCGCAACCCCUCUCCAUAGUUGCCAUCAGGUAAUGCUGGGCACUCUGUGGACACUGCCACCGUAAGGUGCGAGGAAGGUGUGGAU
rnacentral:rRNA from 1 species